UACGAAGGGGGCUAGCGUUGCUCGGAAUCACUGGGCGUAAAGGGUGCGUAGGCGGGUCUUUAAGUCAGGGGUGAAAUCCUGGAGCUCAACUCCAGAACUGCCUUUGAUACUGGCGAUCUUCGAGUUCGGGGAGAGGUGAGUGGAACUGCGAGUGUAGAGGUGAAAUUCGUAGAUAUUCGCAAGAACACCAGUGGCGAAGGCGGCUCACUGGCCCGAUACUGACGCUGAG
rnacentral:rRNA from 1 species